rnacentral:rRNA from 1 species
GGAAAGGCGCGCGAUACAGGGUGACAGCCCCGUACACAAAAAUGCACAUGCUGUGAGCUCGAUGAGUAGGGCGGGACACGUGGUAUCCUGUCUGAAUAUGGGGGGACCAUCCUCCAAGGCUAAAUACUCCUGACUGACCGAUAGUGAACCAGUACCGUGAGGGAAAGGCGAAAAGAACCCCGGCGAGGGGAGUGAAAAAGAACCUGAAACCGUGUACGUACAAGCAGUGGGAGCACGCUUAGGCGUGUGACUGCGUACCUUUUGUAUAAUGGGUCAGCGACUUAUAUUCUGUAGCAAGGUUAACCGAAUAGGGGAGCCGAAGGGAAACCGAGUCUUAACUGGGCGUUAAGUUGCAGGGUAUAGACCCGAAACCCGGUGAUCUAGCCAUGGGCAGGUUGAAGGUUGGGUAACACUAACUGGAGGACCGAACCGACUAAUGUUGAAAAAUUAGCGGAUGACUUGUGGCUGGGGGUGAAAGGCCAAUCAAACCGGGAGAUAGCUGGUUCUCCCCGAAAGCUAUUUAGGUAGCGCCUCGUGAAUUCAUCUCCGGGGGUAGAGCACUGUUUCGGCAAGGGGGUCAUCCCGACUUACCAACCCGAUGCAAACUGCGAAUACCGGAGAAUGUUAUCACGGGAGACACACGGCGGGUGCUAACGUCCGUCGUGAAGAGGGAAACAACCCAGACCGCCAGCUAAGGUCCCAAAGUCAUGGUUAAGUGGGAAACGAUGUGGGAAGGCCCAGACAGCCAGGAUGUUGGCUUAGAAGCAGCCAUCAUUUAAAGAAAGCGUAAUAGCUCACUGGUCGAGUCGGCCUGCGCGGAAGAUGUAACGGGGCUAAACCAUGCACCGAAGCUGCGGCAGCGACGCUGAUGCGUUGUUGGGUAGGGGAGCGUUCUGUAAGCCUGCGAAGGUGUGCUGUGAGGCAUGCUGGAGGUAUCAGAAGUGCGAAUGCUGACAUAAGUAACGAUAAAGCGGGUGAAAAGCCCGCUCGCCGGAAGACCAAGGGUUCCUGUCCAACGUUAAUCGGGGCAGGGUGAGUCGACCCCUAAGGCGAGGCCGAAAGGCGUAGUCGAUGGGAAACAGGUUAAUAUUCCUGUACUUGGUGUUACUGCGAAGGGGGGACGGAGAAGGCUAUGUUGGCCGGGCGACGGUUGUCCCGGUUUA